UGCUUUAUGUAUCCAUGAAGAUUGCAGAUUACAUUUUAAGGGUGACCCUGUUCCUAUUAAAGUUCCUAAUUUGCCACUGAGGACAGUGGCAUGUCACAAUUGAUUCUCCAUCAUACCAGACAAUCUUUGGAAACAAGGUGUGGCAACGCCACACCUGGGUGAAACAGUACAAAGGUGGAAACAAAAACCAGGUGUUUCAUUUCAUUACAAAUGCCAUCUAAUACCGGCCAUCUUGUUGAUCGUCUUGUUGGGUUGAAAACAAGCGGCUGUCAUAAAGGCUAUCUAGUCAGCUCAUUUACAUUUUACUGCUUCAGGUUUUCCUUUCUUGAUGGGUACCCUCCACGGGUUCGUUGGCCUUUUUUUUGGCCUUCAGAUCGUCACACUUGCAAUGGGCUUUAGUAGUGGGGGAUUUGUUCAGUCUUGCACUUCCCUGUUGCCUGACCAUUCAUUCAAUGGUGUAGAUUUUCCCCCACAGAACAGCGAUAUACCUUUUGAGGUCAAUGCCAUCGCCGGUGAGGGGGAGUCAAUUAUCGUGAGUCUAGGAAUCAGGGUGUCUCCUGGACCAAUUCCACCAUUUACAGGGUUCAUGGUGGAUGUCCGGAAGUCAGAAAUAGAUCCAGCCAAAGGAAGUUUCGUUGAGUUUGGUCCUGGAAGUACUGGCUUGACGUGCAAUGGCAUUCAGGAUUCUGCUGUUACUCAAAACUCAAACGCUCCAAAGACUUUUGUUCAAGUUAAAUGGCAAGCACAGGAAAAUGGAUCCUCUUCAUUCUUUUUGCGAGCCACAUUUGUUCAAAAUUUCAUCACAUUUUGGAGACCAGUUAAUGUCGCUAUACAGACACGAGAUUCAACAACACAGCCAUUAACUACAACACUAACUUCCAAGCCCAGUAUAGAACAACCAAGUACAGUGCAACCAACUACAGAACAACCAAUAACAGAACAACC